CCUACGGGUGGCAGCAGUGAGGAAUAUUGGUCAAUGGGCUUACGCCUGAACCAGCCAAGCCGCGUGAGGGAAGACUGCCCUAUGGGUUGUAAACUUCUUUUGUCAGGGAGCAAAUGGCGCUACGUGUACCGUUAUCGAGAGUACCUGAAGAAAAAGCAUCGGCUAACUCCGUGCCAGCAGCCGCGGUAAUAGGGAGGGGCCGAGCGUUAUCCGGAUUUAUUGGGUUUAAAGGGAGCGUAGGUGGAUUGUUAGUGCAGUAGUGAAAGUUGGCGGCCCAACCGGAGGAUUGCAGUUGAAACUGGCAGUCUUGAGUACAGUAGAGGUAGGCGGAAUUCGUGGUGUAGCGGUGAAAUGCUUAGAUAUCACGAAGAACUCCGAUUGCGAAGGCAGUUCACUGGACUGCAACUGACACUGAGGCUCGAAAGCGUGGGUAUCAAACAGGAUUAGAUACCCGGGUAGUC
rnacentral:rRNA from 1 species